UACGGAGGGAGCUAGCGUUGUUCGGAAUUACUGGGCGUAAAGGGUGCGUAGGUGGCAGGGUAAGUUUGAUGUGAAAUCUCCGAGCUCAACUCGGAAACUGCAUUGAAUACUAUCCUGCUUGAAGAUUGGAGGGGAGACUGGAAUUCUCGGUGUAGCAGUGAAAUGCGUAGAUAUCGGGAGGAACACCAGUGGCGAAGGCGACUACCUGGCCUGUUUCUUGACGCUGAGGCGCGAAAGCUAGGGGAGCAAACGGGG
rnacentral:rRNA from 1 species